rnacentral:misc_RNA from 1 species
GAUGAAGAACGUAGCGAAAUGCGAUAAGUAGUGUGAAUUGCAGAAUUCAGUGAAUCAUCGAAUCUUUGAACGCACAUUGCGCCCCUUGGUAUCCCGAGGGGCAUGCCUGUUCGAGCGUCAUUUCACCACUCAAGCCUGGCUUGGUGUUGGGCGACGUCCUCUUUGGGGACGCGCCUCGAAACGCUCGGCGGCGUGGCACCGGCUUUAAGCGUAGCAGAAUCUUUCGCUUUGGAAGUCGGGGCCCCGUCUGCCGGAAGACCUGCUCGCAAGGUUGACCUCGGAUCAGGCAGGGAAACCCGCUGAACUUAAGCAUAUCAAUAAGCGGAGGA